CUUCAGGAGGCACCAAACCAGAAGGGACAGCAGAGGACACGAGAUACUUCAGGAGGCACCAAACCAGCAGAGGACACGAGAUACUUCAGGAGGCACCAAACCAGCAGAGGACAAGCUACUUCAGG